CGGGGGGGUAAGCUAUUGGCUCCGUCAUGGCGUACGAGCGGCGGACGGGUGAGUAACACGUGGGAAUCUGCCCAUUAGUGGGGGAUAACUCGGGGAAACUCGAGCUAAUACCGCAAAUCCCUACGGGGGAAAGCAGGGGAUCUUCGGACCUUGCGCUGAUGGAUGAGCCCGCGUCGGAUUAGCUUGUUGGUGGGGUAAUGGCCCACCAAGGCGACGAUCCGUAACUGGUCUGAGAGGAUGGCCAGUCACACCGGGACUGAGACACGGCCCGGACUCCUACGGGAGGCAGCAGUGGGGAAUCUUGGACAAUGGGCGCAAGCCUGAUCCAGCCAUGCCGCGUGUGUGAAGAAGGCCUUCGGGUUGUAAAGCACUUUCAGUAGGGAGGAAGGCUUUGGGCUAAUACCCUGGAGUACUUGACGUUACCUACAGAAGAAGCACCGGCUAAUUUCGUGCCAGCAGCCGCGGUAAUACGAAAGGUGCGAGCGUUAAUCGGAAUUACUGGGCGUAAAGCGCGCGUAGGCGGUGUGUUAAGUCGGAUGUGAAAGCCCAGGGCUCAACCUUGGAAUUGCAUCCGAUACUGGCACGCUAGAGUGCAGUAGAGGGAGGUGGAAUUUCCGGUGUAGCGGUGAAAUGCGUAGAGAUCGGAAGGAACACCAGUGGCGAAGGCGGCCUCCUGGACUGACACUGACGCUGAGGUGCGAAAGCGUGGGUGAGCAAACAGGAUUAGAUACCCUUGGUAGUCCACGCCGUAAACGAUGUCUACUAGCCGUUGGGGUCCUUAGUGACUUUGGUGGCGCAUCUAACGCGAUAAGUAGACCGCCGGGGGAGUACGGCCGCAGGGUUAAAACUCAUAUGAAUUGACGGGGGCCCGCACAAGCGGUGGAGCAUGUGGUUUUAUUCGAUGCAACGCGAAGAAUCUUACCACGUCUUGACAUCCUGCAACUUUCUAGAGAUAGAUUGGUGCCUUCGGGAGCGCAGUGAACAGUGCUGCAUGGCUGUCGUCAGCUCGUGUCGUGAGAUGUUGGGAUAAGUCCGUAACGAGCGCACUCUUUGUUCUUAGUGCCAGCACUUCGGGUGGCACUCUAGGAGACUGCGGUGACACGACGAGUGGGACGACUCAGUCAUCAUGGCCUACGCUGGCUACACGUCUACAUGCUGUACGAGGUGCAAGUCGGAGGCAACUAUCUCAAGCACUCGAGCCGGAUGGAUCGACUGACUCUAUGA
rnacentral:rRNA from 1 species